rnacentral:rRNA from 1 species
AGGACGAACGCUGGCGGCGUGCCUAAUACAUGCAAGUCGUACGCUUCUUUUUCCACCGGAGCUUGCUCCACCGGAAAAAGAAGAGUGGCGAACGGGUGAGUAACACGUGGGUAACCUGCCCAUCAGAAGGGGAUAACACUUGGAAACAGGUGCUAAUACCGUAUAACAAUCGAAACCGCAUGGUUUUGAUUUGAAAGGCGCUUUCGGGUGUCGCUGAUGGAUGGACCCGCGGUGCAUUAGCUAGUUGGUGAGGUAACGGCUCACCAAGGCUACGAUGCAUAGCCGACCUGAGAGGGUGAUCGGCCACAUUGGGACUGAGACACGGCCCAAACUCCUACGGGAGGCAGCAGUAGGGAAUCUUCGGCAAUGGACGAAAGUCUGACCGAGCAACGCCGCGUGAGUGAAGAAGGUUUUCGGAUCGUAAAACUCUGUUGUUAGAGAAGAACAAGGAUGAGAGUAACUGUUCAUCCCUUGACGGUAUCUAACCAGAAAGCCACGGCUAACUACGUGCCAGCAGCCGCGGUAAUACGUAGGUGGCAAGCGUUGUCCGGAUUUAUUGGGCGUAAAGCGAGCGCAGGCGGUUUCUUAAGUCUGAUGUGAAAGCCCCCGGCUCAACCGGGGAGGGUCAUUGGAAACUGGGAGACUUGAGUGCAGAAGAGGAGAGUGGAAUUCCAUGUGUAGCGGUGAAAUGCGUAGAUAUAUGGAGGAACACCAGUGGCGAAGGCGGCUCUCUGGUCUGUAACUGACGCUGAGGCUCGAAAGCGUGGGGAGCAAACAGGAUUAGAUACCCUGGUAGUCCACGCCGUAAACGAUGAGUGCUAAGUGUUGGAGGGUUUCCGCCCUUCAGUGCUGCAGCUAACGCAUUAAGCACUCCGCCUGGGGAGUACGACCGCAAGGUUGAAACUCAAAGGAAUUGACGGGGGCCCGCACAAGCGGUGGAGCAUGUGGUUUAAUUCGAAGCAACGCGAAGAACCUUACCAGGUCUUGACAUCCUUUGACCACUCUAGAGAUAGAGCUUCCCCUUCGGGGGCAAAGUGACAGGUGGUGCAUGGUUGUCGUCAGCUCGUGUCGUGAGAUGUUGGGUUAAGUCCCGCAACGAGCGCAACCCUUAUUGUUAGUUGCCAUCAUUUAGUUGGGCACUCUAGCAAGACUGCCGGUGACAAACCGGAGGAAGGUGGGGAUGACGUCAAAUCAUCAUGCCCCUUAUGACCUGGGCUACACACGUGCUACAAUGGGAAGUACAACGAGUCGCGAAGUCGCGAGGCUAAGCUAAUCUCUUAAAGCUUCUCUCAGUUCGGAUUGUAGGCUGCAACUCGCCUACAUGAAGCCGGAAUCGCUAGUAAUCGCGGAUCAGCACGCCGCGGUGAAUACGUUCCCGGGCCUUGUACACACCGCCCGUCACACCACGAGAGUUUGUAACACCCGAAGUCGGUGAGGUAACCUUUUGGAGCCAGCCGCCUAAGGUGGGAUAGAUGAUUGGGGUGA